rnacentral:rRNA from 1 species
GACGAACGCUGGCGGCGUGCUUAACACAUGCAAGUCGAACGGUAAGGCCCUUCGGGGUACACGAGUGGCGAACGGGUGAGUAACGCGUGAGUAACCUGCCCUUCACUCUGGGAUAACAGUUGGAAACGGCUGCUAAUACCGGAUAUUCAGCUCCUGUCGCAUGGUGGGGGUUGGAAAGUUUUGGUGGUGGAGGAUGGGCUCGCGUCCUAUCAGCUUGUUGGUGGGGUGAUGGCCUACCAAGGCGUCGACGGGUAGCCUGCCUGAGAGGGCGACCGGCCACAUUGGGACUGAGAUACGGCCCAAACUCCUACGGGAGGCAGCAGUGGGGAAUAUUGCACAAUGGGCGGAAGCCUGAUGCAGCAACGCCGCGUGCGGGAUGACGGCCUUCGGGUUGUAAACCGCUUUCAGCAGGGACGAAGCGCAAGUGACGGUACCUGCAGAAGAAGCACCGGCUAACUACGUG